UACGUAGGUGGCAAGCGUUGUCCGGAUUUACUGGGCGUAAAGAGCGCGCAGGCGUCGCUCAAGUCGCGUGUGAAAGCCCCCGGCUCAACUGGGGAGGGUCACGCGAUACUGAUCGACUGGAAGGCAGGAGAGGGUAGUGGAAUUCCCGGUGUAGUGGUGAAAUGCGUAGAUAUCAGGAGGAACACCGGUGGCGAAGGCGGGUCUCUGGGCAGUAACUGACGCUGAGGAGCGAAAGCGUGGGGAGCGAACAGG
rnacentral:rRNA from 1 species